rnacentral:rRNA from 1 species
UACGUAGGGUGCAAGCGUUGUCCGGAAUUAUUGGGCGUAAAGAGCUCGUAGGCGGUCUGUCGCGUCUGCUGUGAAAACUCAGGGCUUAACCCUGAGCUUGCAGUGGGUACGGGCAGACUAGAGUGCGGUAGGGGAGACUGGAAUUCCUGGUGUAGCGGUGAAAUGCGCAGAUAUCAGGAGGAACACCGGUGGCGAAGGCGGGUCUCUGGGCCGUA